rnacentral:lncRNA from 1 species
UAACACAUUACGUUUGCUUUUGUUUCAAAAUAAUUUAAGCCACUCAGGAAUGAGGUUUUUCUUAUACAACCAAACAAUCAAAAUUUUGAAACGAGUGCCAAGUGAAUGCAGAUCCUACUGAUUCAAUCAUUUUACAGCUCUGGUAUGUACAUUGCUAGCUGAAGCUCCUUGUCGUCUCCCCAAACACUACCGGUUUGCGAGUUGCUGACUUUGCUCAUGGCACUUUAUUCUUUGCAAGUGGUGACGGUAUGUGAUGAGAUAGAGAAGAGACUGUUCAAUGUGGCUCCAAGAUCUUGUGGUGGUCCAAAGUGGAGGCUAGGAUGUCUUGCAAAAAGGUCGAAAGGUUAACCGUACGCGUGCCUUCGUUAAGCCAUCUGCAGCUUGAUAUGACCUAUCAAAAGUUCACAGUGUUGGAAACCAACCACACAAACAGACAAAUAAAACACGGCUAUUACCGACCUCAUUCAGAUAGCAGUGUAUCGAUAACGAUGUUAACGAGGGAUUAGUGUUAACAAGAUAGAAUUUAUUGUCAGCCCUAGUUGUUGUCUUAACAGCAUAAAAACUCCCCAAAGAGUUUUGGGGGAUGUUGUUGAAGUGACAGUCCUUGGCCUGAUACAAAUCUGAUUCAUUCCGGUUACGUAAAUCCGAUUGUCGCGGGAACCCUCGUUAUAUUUGACUUGUCAUAUGCGUCUCCUGCUCAAUCAUCUUUGGCAUUAUAAAUAUCGUCCUCGAAAUUUCACUGCAUCCCUUAAUUAUCGACAUCAUUAACACAAACCUUCAAUGACCUGCAUACCGGCAAUGAACUACACUUGCGUCACCUGCUGGCAAAAAAUCCGUUAGCUAAUGUGAAAACCUUAAUAACAUAAUAAUCCACCAAAAUGCACUACCGGAAAUUACUAGAAUAUCCGCGCUGAACCGGUUGAUAACAUUUUUCCCUCAACGCAUCAUUGUCAGCGACUAAAGCGACACGCCGCGCCGCUGCAAAUGUCAACAUUACUGGAAUGCACUACCGGAAAUCAUUUGUACACUACAAGAACAGGGUGGAUUGAUUUUUUUUUUGUUUUUUUUUUAUUUUGUUUUUUCGAUUUUGUCAGAUAUUUGACAUUCGUACUUUAGUUCGUUCGUUCGCAGUCGUCAGUUCAGUUCGUUGUGAAGAGUAUUUUGCAGAUGGACGCAUCGCUUAAAUAACCUUAAUUGUGCAAAAUAAAGUACGUGUAAACGUUUCGUUAACGAAAAACACAUGUUUAUAACAAGACCACGCUAUCGAAAUUGUGUAGGUUUCAAUUGGAAUUAAGCUUAAGUUUCCCUGCUGCGUUUUGUCUGAUCAAAAAUGUGUUCUUUAGCGUUUGUGUGUGUGUGUGUGCGCAGAGCCGCUGCCGCAGAGACGCUGCCAAAUGCGCUCUUCGUCCGCUACUAGUGCGCUCGUCUCUUCUCGGCUCGGUUACACUGCGCUGCUGCAACUGUCAAAAUUUUUUUGCCGUGUGUCAUUUCCACACUUCGUUGUCGAUUCGAUUGGCAAAAAUGAGUUUUUUGCGAAAAAUUUCACUAAAUUACAGUUGAAAUUAGUAGUGUACAAAGGUGUUAAUAACUGAAAAGUGUUUAGCGUUGCACUAAUUACAGUUUAGCAAUGUUUUCCGAGUGGGCAUUAUGUUUGUAAGUGCGUAAAAUGUUUAGGAAAUUAGUGCAACAAAUCGAUGUGAAUGUGUGCUUGCCUGCUGGCUUUGCCUGUGAACCGAAUGAACCGAGAAAAGUUCGAAGCUGACAGCGGCACUACUGGCGCUGCGGUAACUGCUGCUGUUUUCUGUUUCUGUUUUUUGAUUAAUUCACAGUGCCUCGGCUCGGCUAUUGGAAUAUGAAAAAUAUAGAAAUGUGAAGAAAUAAGCAACAAAAAUUUCGCAAACUAAAUUUUUGCACAACGUCGAGUGAACAGAUUUCAUUAGCCAUCAAAUACGCCGCGUGUGUGUGAAAUAUAUGAAAUUGUUCCUGUUUACAAUAACUAAAACAACGAGUUGUUAAUUAUCUGCCAGCUUGUAAGCGGCAUAUAUUUUGUAUAAGAUAAAAGUCUGUGAAAUCAGUAUUAAGCGAAAAAAUA